AACUCGAGGUCGCUUGGGACUGAGAGUCUGGUUGUUUGUUGGUGUUGGCGCAUUGGAUUUUGGUGGUGAAAGGGAAUUUUGGGAAAGAAGCGGACAAAGAGAAGGGUGAAGCGGAGCGAGGGCAAGACAGAAGACGAAGAGAGGAGCGAGGGAGAGUGAUAGGGUGAAGAGAAGAGGCCAAGAGUGGCAUGGCAUCGGCCAUUUCAGCUUCUGUUGGUU
rnacentral:misc_RNA from 1 species